AGAGUUUGAUCCUGGCUCAGGAUGAACGCUGACAGAAUGCUUAACACAUGCAAGUCGACUCGAGUCUUCGGACUUGGGUGGCGCACGGGUGAGUAACGCGUAAAGAACUUGCCUCUUAGACCGGGACAACAUCUGGAAACGGAUGCUAAUACCGGAUAUUAUGGUUUCUUCGCAUGGAGGAAUCAUGAAAGCUAGAUGCGCUAAGAGAGAGCUUUGCGUCCCAUUAGCUGGUUGGUGAGGUAACGGCCCACCAAGGCAAUGAUGGGUAGCCGGCCUGAGAGGGUGAACGGCCACAAGGGGACUGAGACACGGCCCUUACUCCUACGGGAGGCAGCAGUGGGGAAUAUUGGACAAUGGACCACAAGUCUGAUCCAGCAAUUCUGUGUGCACGAUGACGUUUUUCGGAAUGUAAAGUGCUUUCAGUCGGGAAGAAGUCAGUGACGGUACCGACAGAAGAAGCGACGGCUAAAUACGUGCCAGCAGCCGCGGUAAUACGUAUGUCGCAAGCGUUAUCCGGAUUUAUUGGGCGUAAAGCGCGUCUAGGCGGCAAGGAAAGUCUGAUGUGAAAAUGCGGAGCUCAACUCCGUAUGGCGUUGGAAACUGCCUUACUAGAGUACUGGAGAGGUAGGCGGAACUACAAGUGUAGAGGUGAAAUUCGUAGAUAUUUGUAGGAAUGCCGAUGGGGAAGCCAGCCUACUGGACAGAUACUGACGCUAAAGCGCGAAAGCGUGGGUAGCAAACAGGAUUAGAUACCCUGGUAGUCCACGCUGUAAACGAUGAUUACUAGGUGUUGGGGGUCAAACCUCAGCGCCCAAGCUAACGCGAUAAGUAAUCCGCCUGGGGAGUACGUACGCAAGUAUGAAACUCAAAGGAAUUGACGGA
rnacentral:rRNA from 1 species